rnacentral:rRNA from 1 species
UACGUAGGCAGCAAGCGUUGUUCGGAAUUACUGGGCGUAAAGAGUGUGUAGGCGGUGCUCCAAGUCUGGUGUGAAAUCUCCCGGCUUAACUGGGAGGGUGCAUUAGAAACUGGAAUGCUAGAGGAUGGGAGAGGUAAGCGGAAUUCCUGGUGUAGCGGUGAAAUGCGUAGAUAUCAGGAGGAACACCUGUGGUGUAGACAGCUUACUGGACUGUCACUGACGCUGAGGCGCGAAAGCUCGGGGAGCGAACGGG